AGCAUGGUGUGUGCAACGCCAGGGUUGUGGGUUCGAUUCCCACGGGGGGCCAGUACAAAAAAAAUGCAUGAAAUGUAUUCAUUCACUACUGUAAGUCGCUCUGGAUAAGAGCGUCUGCUAAAUGACUAAAAUGUAAAAAAAAAUGUAAAAAAUGUAGAGAGAGGGAGAGAGAGGUAGAGAGGGAGAGCGAGGGAGAGCGAGGGAGAGAGAGGGAGAGCGAGGUAGAGAGAGGGAGAGAGAGGUAGAGAGAGGUAGAGGUAGAGAGAGGGAGAGUGAGGUAGGUAGAGGUAGAGAGAGGUAGAGAGAGGUAGAGAGAGGGAGAGGUAGAGAGGUAGAGAGAGGGAGAGCGAGAAAGACAAUUAGACCCAACCAAAUCAUGAAAAAACAAAAAGAUAAUUUCUUGACACAUUGGAAAGAAUGAACAAAAAAACA
rnacentral:lncRNA from 1 species